rnacentral:rRNA from 2 species
UCAUAUGCUUGUCUCAAAGAUUAAGCCAUGCAUGUCUAAGUACAUGCCUCAGUAAGGUGAAACCGCGAAUGGCUCAUUAAAUCAGUUAUGGUUCCUUAGAUCGUACCAUUUUACUUGGAUAACUGUGGUAAUUCUAGAGCUAAUACAUGCAGAUAGAGCUCCGACCUUCGGGGACGAGCGCUUUUAUUAGACCAAGGCCAAUCGGACUUCGGUCCGUCACCCAUGGCGACUCUGGAUAACUUUGGGCUGAUCGCACGGUCUUGCACCGGCGACGCAUCUUUCAAGUGUCUGCCUUAUCAACUGUCGAUGGUAGGUUAUGCGCCUACCAUGGUCGUAACGGGUAACGGGGAAUCAGGGUUCGAUUCCGGAGAGGGAGCCUGAGAAACGGCUACCACAUCCAAGGAAGGCAGCAGGCGCGCAAAUUACCCACUCCCGGCACGGGGAGGUAGUGACGAAAAAUAACAAUACGGGACUCUAACGAGGCCCCGUAAUUGGAAUGAGUACACUCUAAAUCCUUUAACGAGGAUCUAUUGGAGGGCAAGUCUGGUG